rnacentral:rRNA from 1 species
UACGGAGGGUGCAAACGUUGCUCGGAAUCAUUGGGCGUAAAGCGCACGUAGGCGGCCUGUUAAGUCGGAUGUGAAAGCCCCGGGCUCAACCCGGGAAGUGCAUACGAAACUGGCGGGCUUGAAUAUGGAAGAGGGUCGCGGAAUUCCCGGUGUAGAGGUGAAAUUCGUAGAUAUCGGGAGGAACACCAGUGGCGAAGGCGGCGACCUGGGCCAAUAUUGACGCUGAGGUGCGAAAGCGUGGGGAGCGAACAGG